rnacentral:rRNA from 1 species
GACGAACCGUGCAAACGUUGUUCGGAAUCACUGGGCUUAAAGGGUGCGUAGGCGGGUGAUCAAGUCAGGGGUGAAAUCCUCCAGCUCAACUGGAGAACAGCUUUUGAUACUGGUCAUCUUGAGGGGGGUAGGGGCAUGUGGAACUUCCGGUGGAGCGGUGAAAUGCGUAGAUAUCGGAAGGAACGCCGGUGGCGAAAGCGACGUGCUGGACCCCUUCUGACGCUGAGGCACGAAAGCCAGGGGAGCAAACGGG